rnacentral:rRNA from 1 species
GUCUGGCUCAGAUUGAACGCUGGCGGCAUGCUUUACACAUGCAAGUCGAACGGCAGCAUAGAGAGCUUGCUCUCUGAUGGCGAGUGGCGAACGGGUGAGUAAUACAUCGGAACGUGUCCGUUUGUGGGGGACAACCACCCGAAAGGGUGGCUAAUACCGCAUAAGACCUGAGGGUGAAAGCCGGGGACCGCAAGGCCUGGCGCGAACGGAGCGGCCGAUGACUGAUUAGCUGGUUGG